rnacentral:rRNA from 1 species
GGUAUACUGGGCGUCUUGAGCCACUCAGGGGCUACCGGAACAAAACGGUGGAGCGGUGAAAAUGCGUAGAUAUCGUUUGGAACGCCAAUGGUGAAAACAGGUAGCUGGGGGGUGUGCUGACACUGAGACACGAAAGCCAGGGGAGCGAACGGGAUUAGAUACCCCGGUAGUCCUGGCCCUAAACGAUGUCCACUAGAUUAUGGCGGUUCUAACGCCGUCAUGGUCGUAGCAAAAGUGCUAAGUGGACCGCCUGGGAAGUACGGUCGCAAAGGCUAAAACUCAAAGGGAAUUGACGGGGGCUCACACAAGCGGGUGGGAGCAUGUGGGUUCAAUUCGAAGCAACGCGCAGAACCCUUACCUGGGCUUUGACAUGCUAGGAUUAUCCCUAUGAAAGUAGGGUAGGCCCUUUCGGGGUACAACCUAGUACAGGUGCUGGCAUGGGCUGUCGUCCAGCUUCGUGUCGUUGAGAUGUCCGGUCAAGUCCCCUUAACGAGCGAAACCGU